ensembl:lncRNA
CGACAUCUUCCUCAGCUACUCAGAAGCCAAAAUGGGUAGCGGCUUAGACGAGUGAGGAUUGGCUGAACUCCCGCCUCCUCCUCCGCACCUGAAACCUGCGCGGAAAGCUCUCAUACAGCGAGGCUGCACACUGCUCCCAAAGAAAACAUGUCGUUCAAAAAGUCAAAGGGCCGGACCGGUUUUCAAGGCGGCUUCACAUCUGGAGAAUCUGCAUCUGUUGACAGGCGAGGACGAGCUUCCAGAAGAAGGUGAAGAAGGUGUUUCCAGCCGCACGGUCGGCACCUACAACCGCUGUUUUCAUCCGCGUUUACAACAAUGGCUGAAAUCGGCGAAAGGAGAGACGACGGAGUGCUUCAUAUGCAGGGAGGCUGAACUUCAAGCCCGUGACCCGCUGAGGCAUUUCUGCGACUGCAAGAAUUUACUUGCCCAUCACGUGUGUCUGUCCACGUGGAUCCUGAAGGGAUGCGAGAGCGGAAACCGGCUGCGCUGCAUUAUCUGCAAAGCCAAGGGCUCGCAGACUGCAUCAUUCUUUUUAGGGGGAUCAUUUCUUUCUCUUUCUCCGUUUCUUAUUGAUAUGAUGCCAAAAAUAUGCUCCCAGGGCUAUCAUUUUUCUGCGUCCGUUUGCAAAAGCGGAGGCCUAAGAGGAUUUAUCUUCGUGACCCAUCACACAAAGACAAUGAGCCGCAGAAUAGCGGCGUCCGACUGGGAGGACCGAGAGUGGGCGCACCCAGCCGUCCUCAGGCGUCCCUCUAAAGGCGGCCUCAUGUUACAGGUGAGACAGGCGAGACGGCCGUUGCUCUUGUCUGCACCAGCUCUCUCUGCCUCGCUCUCGGAAAAGCCGCUGCAUGCGCGUCGUUCGCUGGGAUUACUGUACGUCGGUGUCACAUCUCGGGUUUCCGACGGCAAACGGCAUUCGAUAUCUGCAGCGGGACAAAGCGGCUCGCCCCCCGCCGUCUCCGGCGCUCACCGGCUCCGUGCGUGGAGACGGAGUCAUAAACUGGUCCUGGUUGGCCCCGGGGCUAGGGCUAAU